rnacentral:rRNA from 1 species
UAAAGCGUGCGCAGGCGGUUUUGUAAGACUGUCGUGAAAUCCCCGGGCUCAACCUGGGAAUGGCGAUGGUGACUGCAAGGCUAGAGUUUGCAGAGGGGGGUAGAAUUCCACGUGUAGCAGUGAAAUGCGUAGAUAUGUGGAGGAACACCGAUGGCGAAGGCAGCCCCCUGGGUCAAAACUGACGCUCAUGCACGAAAGCGUGGGGAGCAAACAGGAUUAGAUACCCCGGU